UAGCCAUGCGAGUUAAUGUUCUUCGUGAACAUAGCAGACUGCUCAGUAACACGUGGAUAACCUGCCCUUAGGACUGGCAUAACCCCGGGAAACUGGGGAUAAUUCCGGAUAGAUCAUAAAUGCUGGAAUGCUUUAUGAUUGAAAGGUUUCGACUGCCUUAGGAUGGAUCUGCGGCCUAUCAGGUUGUAGUGGGUGUAAUGUACCUACUAGCCUACGACGGGUACGGGUUGUGGAAGCAAGAGCCCGGAGAUGGAUUCUGAGACAUGAAUCCAGGCCCUACGGGGCGCAGCAGGCGCGAAAACUUUACAAUGCGGGAAACCGUGAUAAGGGAACACUGAGUGCUAGCAUUUAUGUUAGCUGUCCACAUGUGUAAAUAGCAUGUGAUAGCAAGGGCUGGGCAAGACCGGUGCCAGCCGCCGCGGUAACACCGGCAGCCCGAGUGGUGAUCACUAUUAUUGGGUCUAAAGGGUCCGUAGCCGGUUUAAUCAGUCCUCUGGGAAAUCUAAUCGCUUAACUAUUAGGCUUCCAGGGGAUACUGUUAGACUUGGGACCGGGAGAGGUAAGAGGUACUGCAGGGGUAGGAGUGAAAUCUUGUAAUCCCUGUGAGACCACCAGUGGCGAAGGCGUCUUACCAGAACGGGUCCGACGGUGAGGGACGAAAGCUGGGGGCACGAACC
rnacentral:rRNA from 1 species